rnacentral:tRNA from 1 species
AGGAAAAUAAUUUAAUGGUAAAAUAGUGGUCUUCAAAAUCAUAUUUAAAGGUUCGAGUCCUUUUUUUCCUG